rnacentral:pre_miRNA from 1 species
AGAGGGAUAGCUGGGUCAAAUGGUGGUUCCAUUCCCAGAUUUCCAAGGAAUCUCCAUAUUGCUUUCUAUAUUGGCUGCACCAAUGUGCAGUCCCACCAGCAAU